rnacentral:rRNA from 1 species
UGGGGAAUAUUGCACAAUGGGGGAAACCCUGAUGCAGCGACGCCGCGUGAACGAAGAAGGAAUUCGUAUCGUAAAGUUCUGUCCUAUGGGAAGAUAAUGACAGUACCAUAGAAGAAAGCUCCGGCUAAAUACGUGCCAGCAGCCGCGGUAAUACGUAUGGAGCGAGCGUUGUCCGGAAUUAUUGGGCGUAAAGGGUACGCAGGCGGUUUAAUAAGUCGAAUGUUAAAGAUCGGGGCUCAACCCCGCAAAGCAUUGGAAACUGAUAAACUUGAGUAGUGGAGAGGAAAGUGGAAUUCCUAGUGUAGUGGUGAAAUACGUAGAUAUUAGGAGGAAUACCAGUAGCGAAGGCGACUUUCUGGACACAAACUGACGCUGAGGUACGAAAGCGUGGGGAGCAAACAGG